rnacentral:rRNA from 1 species
AGCGAAUGCUGGCGGCAGGCUUAACACAUGCAAGUCGAGCGGGCCCUUCGGGGUCAGCGGCAGACGGGUGAGUAACACGUGGGAACGUACCCUUUGGUUCGGAAUAACGCUGGGAAACUAGCGCUAAUACCGGAUACGCCCUUUUGGGGAAAGGCUUGCUGCCGAAGGAUCGGCCCGCGUCUGAUUAGCUAGUUGGUGGGGUAAUGGCCUACCAAGGCGACGAUCAGUAGCUGGUCUGAGAGGAUGAUCAGCCACACUGGGACUGAGACACGGCCCAGACUCCUACGGGAGGCAGCAGUGGGGAAUAUUGGACAAUGGGCGCAAGCCUGAUCCAGCCAUGCCGCGUGAGUGAUGAAGGCCUUAGGGUUGUAAAGCUCUUUUGUCCGGGACGAUAAUGACGGUACCGGAAGAAUAAGCCCCGGCUAACUUCGUG